rnacentral:rRNA from 1 species
UCCUGGCUCAGGACGACGCUGGCGGCGUGCUUAACACAUGCAAGUCGAACGAGGUUAUGCUGAUGAGAUCUUCGGAUGGAUUGGUAUAACCGAGUGGCGGACGGGUGGGUAACGCGUGAGCAACCUGUCUUACACAGGGGGAUAACACUCCGAAAGGAGCGCUAAUACCGCAUAGGACCACGAUGCUGCAUGGCAUUGAGGUGAAAGGAGAAAUCCGGUGUAAGGUGGGCUCGCGUCCCAUUAGAUAGUUGGUGAGGUAACGGCUCACCAAGUCGACGAUGGGUAGCCGACCUGAGAGGGUGAUCGGCCACAUUGGAACUGAGAUACGGUCCAGACUCCUACGGGAGGCAGCAGUGGGGAAUAUUGGGCAAUGGGCCGCAAGCCUGACCCAGCAACGCCGCGUGAGGGAAGAAGGUCUUCGGGUUGUAAACCUCUGUCCUAAGUGAAAAGGAAGGAUGGUAGCUUAGGAGGAAGCCCCGGCUAACUACGUGCCAGCCGCUGC